rnacentral:rRNA from 1 species
AUGAGGGGGUGGAGAGAGGAGGUGGUGGCGCUGUCGCUGGAGGCGCACGGCCCCGGCGACGACCGGCCGGAGAAGCCGCGCCGCUACGGGGUCACGGAGAUGAGGAGCCCCUGCUACACCUUCCGCCCCGCCCACCACGCGCUCCAGGAAAUUUUGGAUAAUAUCGGCCCUUUUGUUGACGGUCUGAAGUUUUCCGGCGGAUCUCAUAGUUUGAUGGGAAAGGAACUGAUCAGAGAGAUCACUGAUUUGGCGCACAAGCAUGACAUGUAUGUGAGCACUGGUGACUGGGCAGAGCAUCUUCUGCGCCAGGGACCCUCUUCCUUCAAGCAAUAUGUAGAGGAAUGCAAAGAGUUGGGAUUCGACACCAUUGAGCUCAACGCUGGAUCUCUCAAGCUCCCUGAAGAGGCUAUCCUGAGACUAGUCCGCCUCAUAAAGAACACUGGUCUGCGAGCCAAGCCCCUGUUUUCAGUGAAGUUCGACAGCUCUGAUAUCCCUGCGGCUGGUGAUAGGGCGUUUGGGGCUUACAUAGCUCCAGUGAAGCAGAGCUCAGAAAGAGUCGAAGACAUUGACCUGCUGAUCAGGAGGGCCGAGAGAUGCCUGGAGGCAGGUGCAGAUAUGAUCAUGAUCGACGCCGACGACGUGUGCCAGCACGCGGACUCUCUCAGGGCGGACCUCAUCGCGAAGAUCGUCGGCCGGCUCGGGCUGGAGAGAACCAUGUUCGAGACGUCCGGUGCCAACACCUCCGAGUGGUUCGUCAAACGAUACGGCCCGCGGGUGAACCUCUUCGCCGACCACUCCGAGGUGAUGAACCUGGAGCGCCUCCGGGGCUUGGACGUGCGCAGGAGCGUCCGGCCCCUGCUCCCUUCGCCGUUCUUCCUGAUGUGA